AUGCAGAAGACCACGGCAGCUGCGGCUACUGGAACGGUGGCACGGAACGGAAGGCGGAGGCGACGAGAGGACGAUGCUCAUACGGGUUUCCUGGAGAAGAGAGAGCAGGUGAGAGCGGGAUCCAGAGGGAACAGGAGAAGAGACGGGAAAGAGAAGCAGCGAGCGGGGCGGAGCCGUGACCGGAGUUGGAGACGAGGUGGAGCGGCGGUGGUCUCCGGCGAGGUUGCUGCAGAAUCAGGCGGGGAUGGGCGCAAGGAGGCAAACUCCAAAUCCAUGGCGGGGACGGUAGGCGUCGGGCAGAGGAGGAAGAGGCGAGGCCUUGGGCAGAGGAAGGGGAGGGACGACAAGGCAGCGGCCUGGUGGUGUUGGGAUCGAUUGAGGUGA
rnacentral:rRNA from 1 species